CUCGCCCGUCGCUGAAAUUGCUGCCCCGCACGAGGGUUUCUUCCGCCGCCGCGCCCCCAUCCCUCCGCCGCCGCCGUCCCUCCACCCUGUGGUACCCGUCCUCGAUCCGUGGUCACCAAAUCCGGACGAGAUCGGCAGGAUCUGCCGCAUGUCCCGCGACACCUAGCCGCAGCUGCUCGUCGGCCAUGCGGGGAGCACGGACGAGCUGCUCGUCAACGUCCAUCCCGCAGCCCCGCUGACGACCGUGCCCAGCCUCCUCGACAGCGCGCCUCUCCAACUUGCCGCAUGCCAAAUUUUAGUAGGGGAAGGAUGGAUACCGCAAGGCUUUCAUAUGUGUUUUGAUUUUGCCGAUAGGGAUUUCUAAUAUUCUGACAAGAGUCAAACUAGCAAUCGUGAAGAUGGAGAAUUCAUGCAACUCCAUCUUACUUCAACCCUCAGCCAUCUAAUUGGUGGUAUGGUGUGCUUCUGAUGGUAUUUCACGGCGUUUGUACCAGCAGCAUAGUAAAAAACUCCCGUCAACACGGCUUAUUUAUCGUUUCUGGAGGGCCUCACAGAUGAGCUAUUCAUCGGCGGCACCUUGCCAGUCAUUUAGAGGAUCUGCGGGAACAAAUAAACAAGCAGAGCGUCAUCAGUCAGGGACCAACAUCCAUGCCAACUGCCCAAGAUGACUGCUAAGGCAAUUAAUAUUCUCUCUCAAUCUUCAGCCACCAUCUGAUGUUAAUUGAUCUUGAUCUUCCCCACUCACCAAUUCUGAAGACACUUCGGAUCUCACAUUAACUUCAUUCAGUCUUUAAGAAUAAUCAAAGACAUAUGGAUCUCAAAGCUAUGGAUCAUGCGCCCAUACAAAAAAGGACAACUGACUAGAUUGAUGAUACGUUAUGGCAAGAAGGCUAUAUAUUCAUGGUAUUCUUAACCCUACUCUUGACAUUUUAACCGAUGCCCAUAGGAAACAUAAUUAGGCAUUUUCAACUAUCAAAGUUUCUUUCAGCAUGCUUUCCAUAAUAUAUUGAAAUUUGACAACAAAAUUGUUUUCUGUGAUGUUAUGUAAUCAAUUCAGAGUGUGUAGAAGAUGUUGUCCUGGUUGUGUAGAGUAUGCGGUGCGUAGCUUCUUGUGUGUGUGUGUGCAUAUAUGUUAAUUGGUGGCUGUGCAUAUAUGUUAAUUGGUGGCUGGUGUGUGUGCAGGGUGCAAAUGGGGCCAGUGAGUAGGCGGCGAGUAUACUACGCCGAGAAGCGAUACAGGGGCAUGAAUCUUGAGCCGGUGUGCGCAACGACCUGCGCUACUGCACUAAUAGCCUUGACAGAGCACUAGGGCCGGCUCGACAGGGCAUGCAGCCCGCCGGUGGACGCCUGAAUGUGCGCGACGGAGAUGAACCCCGCGUCGUCGCCUCUAUAGCCUGGACAGAGCUCCACCAGUGCUCGUGAUGAACCCCAUGUAUGUGCUGGUGAUGGCGCUCUCCGUCUACUUUCUCCACCGGCUAUCAGAGAGUAGAGAUCACAUUGUGGAUUUGUGCUUUCUUCAGAGAUGUGCUCCUGUCGUUGUUGGUUGUCAAAUUUGUGAUGUAAUCCGUCCCUAUGUCGAUGUCUUAACCACUUCGUACUACCGCACAAUUAGCAGAACAGAGCAGAUGCCGCAGUCUACCCAUUGAUUUCUUGGAGUGAUUCAAACCUAGGAAAGCCUGCUACUUGUGCAAGCAACAGGCUGCAGCAUUGGUCAACUGGCUUGAGCACAGCUCACAUGAGUCAUCGCCAAAUGACCCUUUUCUGAAAUUCACUGAGAGAGGAGUUACUCCAUGUCAGUAUGUACAUACAGAUGCAAGCAAUGGAUAAACUCAUGAAGACCAUGUCUAUUAGUCCUUCAGUAUUUUUUGGAAUGAGAUGACACGUUGUAUGCCAGGUAACAAGCAACUGAAGCAAGGGAAAGAAUGAGCCCCUGAACCCAGGAUGCAUGGCGAAGGAUCCAAUAUGUCAGGACCAAUGAGGGAAUUGCAGAGCUUCAUAUACAUUUGCCUUCUUCAAGUGUCUAGAUUACAUGAAACAUGUUUCUUCAAGUGUCUACACACUACAGGAAAUAAGUUUCUUAUGGAAGUAG